rnacentral:rRNA from 1 species
CCUACGGGCGGCAGCAGUGGGGAAUAUUGCACAAUGGGGGAAACCCUGAUGCAGCGACGCCGCGUGAGUGAAGACGUAAUUCGUUAUGUAAAGCUCUAUCAGCCGGGAAGCAAAUGCCGGUACCCGAGCAAGAAGCCACGGCGAACUACGUGUCAGCAGCCGCGGUCAUACGUCGGGGGCCAGCGUUAUCCGGAUUUAUUGGGGGUAAAGGGGGAGUUGACGGCAGUGAAAGUCUGGAGUGAAAGGCGGGGGCUCAACCCCCGGACUGCUCUUGAAACUGUACGGCUGGAGUGCAGGAGAGGUAAGUGGAAUGCCUAGUGUAGCGGUGAAAUGCGUAGAUAUUAGGAGGAACACCAGUGGCGAAGGCGGCAUACUGGACUGCAACUGACGUUGAGGCACGAAAGCGUGGGGAGCAAACAGGAUUAGAUACCCUGGUAGUC